AGUGAACGCUGGCGGUAGGCCUAACACAUGCAAGUCGAACGGCAGCACAGUAAGAGCUUGCUCUUACGGGUGGCGAGUGGCGGACGGGUGAGGAAUACAUCGGAAUCUACUUUUUCGUGGGGGAUAACGUAGGGAAACUUACGCUAAUACCGCAUACGACCUACGGGUGAAAGCAGGGGAUCUUCGGACCUUGCGCGAUUGAAUGAGCCGAUGUCGGAUUAGCUAGUUGGCGGGGUAAAGGCCCACCAAGGCGACGAUCCGUAGCUGGUCUGAGAGGAUGAUCAGCCACACUGGAACUGAGACACGGUCCAGACUCCUACGGGAGGCAGCAGUGGGGAAUAUUGGACAAUGGGCGCAAGCCUGAUCCAGCCAUACCGCGUGGGUGAAAAAGGCCUUCGGGUUGUAAAGCCCUUUUGUUGGGAAAGAAAAGCAGCAGGUUAAUACCCCGCUGUUCUGACGGUACCCAAAGAAUAAGCACCGGCUAACUUCGCG
rnacentral:rRNA from 1 species